rnacentral:rRNA from 1 species
GAUGAACGCUGACAGAAUGCUUAACACAUGCAAGUCUUUGGCGAAUCUGUGCUUGCACAGGCUAGCCAAGGCGGACGGGUGAGUAACGCGUAAAGAACUUGCCCUGCAGACAGGGAUAACAGACGGAAACGACUGAUAACACCUGAUACAGUUGCCGGCACUCAUGUGCCUGGCAAUGAAAAGAGAUGCUGCAGGAGAGCUUUGCGUCCUAUUAGCUUGUUGGUGAGGUGACGGCUCACCAAGGCGAUGAUAGGUAGCCGGCCUGAGAGGGUGAACGGCCACAAGGGGACUGAGAUACGGCCCUUACUCCUACGGGAGGCAGCAGUGGGGAAUAUUGGACAAUGGGGGCAACCCUGAUCCAGCAAUUCUGUGUGCACGAAGAAGGUUUUCGGAUUGUAAAGUGCUUUCAGCAGGGAAGAAGAAAGUGACGGUACCUGCAGAAGAAGCGACGGCUAAAUACGUG